GGGCCGGUGGUUUAGGGGUAUAAUGUCGCGUUCGCAACGCGAAUGUCGGGGGUUCGAUUCCCCCCCGGUCCACCA
rnacentral:tRNA from 1 species